rnacentral:lncRNA from 1 species
GAGAUUUCUUUAUCAUUAAUCAAAGUUCAAUUUAUAGGAAAAAGAGAAGUUUGUGGUAAAGUUUCUUUCAUAUUUUCAUCUUACUUUAUAUAUCGUGAAUUUAGAUUAAUCAACCGUUGAACUUUUAAUGUUAGAUUGUUAUUAAAAGGAGAAAAAGGUAAAAGAGUUUUUGGAUUGAUGAUUUUGUGCUUUGUGGGCUAUACACAAGAGGCAGCAGGUGCAGCAUAAAGAGAAAAAGAGGUGGCAGUAAUAUUGAUGAGGUCACAAAGGCUUUUAAUCUAGCAGUGGGG